rnacentral:lncRNA from 1 species
GAAGCCAAAAAGUACGGAGUACAUAGUCAAGGUGGGUACAAAAUAUUAAGCCAAAUACAAAAAUUGAAAAUAAUAUGAAGCAAACAACUCAAAGAGUCUUCUUAGCAACUCACUUUUUAUGGGCUUUCAAUUCUUCUUUAAAUCUUCGCAUCAUCCUUUUGCAAAGAAAAACAAGAUCACGAGCCGAAGGAUGAGUGUUGUUUUAAUCCAUGUCCUUUAGAGCAUUUUCCAAUUUCCAUGGUAAGUCUCUGGCCAUGCCAUUACAGAACUCUAUGAGGU